GAAACUGGACGUGACUAAAGCGCUGGAGAACUGGAGGUCAACUGGUGGUGGUAGCAGUAACAGAGGAGCUGUGGAACCACACACUUCACAGCAUUUUCCUACAGCCAAUCUAAAGUUUCUAUAACUGUCAGCAUGAUGAGGAUCGCGAGGAGACCAGAAUGCCUGUACACCCUGAGGGUGUGUGCAGUGCACACCUGAAAGUUGGCAAGGUGAUGGAGAAAGUGGUUGAACUGACUGAAGCUGUGGAGAACAGAUUGGCUGCAGGAGCAGUAACAUCAGCGACUCUGCAGCAGAUUCCUACAACCCAUCUCGUGAGGUAAAAAGGAUCCACAGGAGUCUGGAGGAUGGGCACAAAUACAGAGGAAAUGAGAGGUUCACGUCUGAGCACAACUCCGGUGGCACAAAUUCAAUGUUGUGGACAAUUGCAGAUGAAGAGGAAUGUGACACCUCUUUGAUCAGAAGAGCAACAGAUACUUUGAGAACAUCAGGAGGGAAUCUAAGUUGUCAGAAGACAAAGUGGAAGAGGAUCAGAGGGCCAAAGCUCUCAACAACCGAAGACAUAGACUUUUCAAUUCAAGCCGAUCUGCUGCUUGCUCAUCUUAACCAAUGAGGAGUACAGAUACCUGGAACGGGCGCCUGCAUGCAUGAUGAGCGACGAGGAGACGGACACUGAAGACAAAGACGUGUGGAAAGCAUGUCCACCUGAAUGGAGGGCAACAAGACUCACCGACAUGUUAGAAAGGUGUCAGCACCACCUCGUUGACCUACAAAAGAU